GAUCAUGGCUCAGGACGAACGCUGGCGGCGCGCCUAACACAUGCAAGUCGAACGAGCGAGAGAGAGCUUGCUUUCUCGAGCGAGUGGCGAACGGGUGAGUAACGCGUGAGGAACCUGCCUCAAAGAGGGGGACAACAGUUGGAAACGACUGCUAAUACCGCAUAAGCCCACGGCUCGGCAUCGAGCAGAGGGAAAAGGAGCAAUCCGCUUUGAGUGC
rnacentral:rRNA from 1 species